rnacentral:rRNA from 1 species
AAGCUCGUAGUUGAAUUUCGGGGUUAGUAGGUUGGUCAUGCCUCUGGUAUGUACUGGUCUCACUGAUUCCUCCUUCCUUAUGAACCGUAAUGCCAUUAAUUUGGUGUUGCGGGGAAUUUGGACUGUUACUUUGAAAAAAUUAGAGUGUUUAAAGCAAGCUAACGCCUGAAUACAUUAGCAUGGAAUAAUGAAAUAGGACGUUCGAUCUUAUUUUGUUGGUUUCUAGGAUUGACGUAAUGAUUAAUAGGGAUAGUUGG